ACUCCCAACGGAGGCUGUGAUGGGUAGGGGAGCGUCGUGUGCCGGGUGAAGCAGCCGUGGAAGCGAGUUGUGGACGGUUCACGAGUGAGAAUGCAGGCAUGAGUAGCGAUUCACACGUGAGAAACGUGUGCGCCGAUUGACUAAGGGUUCCUGGGUCAAGCUGAUCUGCCCAGGGUAAGUCGGGACCUAAGGCGAGGCCGACAGGCGUAGUCGAUGGAUAACCGGUUGAUAUUCCGGUACCCGCUGUGAAGCGUCAAACAUUGAAUCCAGUGAUGCUAAGCCCGUGAAGCCGUUCCGGACCCUUCGGGGAAUGGAAAGUGGUGGAGCCGGUGGCCCGAGCUGGUAGUAGGUGAGUGAUGGGGUGACGCAGGAAGGUAGUCCAUCCCGGGCGGUGGUUGUCCCGGGGUAAGGGUGUAGGACGUCAGGUAGGUAAAUCCGCCUGGCACAUAGUCUGAGACCUGAUGCCGAGCCGAUUGUGGUGAAGUGGAUGAUCCUAUGCUGUCGAGAAAAGCCUCUAGCGAGUUUCAUGGCGGCCCGUACCCUAAACCGACUCAGGUGGUCAGGUAGAGAAUACCGAGGCGUUCGGGUGAACUAUGGUUAAGGAACUCGGCAAAAUGCCCCCGUAACUUCGGGAGAAGGGGGGCCAUGUCUGGUGAUGAGUCUUGCACUCUGAGCUGGGUGUGGCCGCAGAGACCAGCGAGAAGCGACUGUUUACUAAAAACACAGGUCCGUGCGAAGCCGUAAGGCGAUGUAUACGGACUGACGCCUGCCCGGUGCUGGAACGUUAAGGGGACCGGUUAGUCACAUUUCGGUGUGGCGAAGCUGAGAACUUAAGCGCCAGUAAACGGCGGUGGUAACUAUAACCAUC
rnacentral:rRNA from 1 species